rnacentral:tRNA from 3 species
GCGGACAUAGCUCAGCUGGUAGAGCGCAACCUUGCCAAGGUUGAGGUCGCGAGUUCGAACCUCGUUGUCCGCUCCA